rnacentral:rRNA from 1 species
AGAGUUUGAUCCUGGCUCAGAUUGAACGCUGGCGGAAUGCUUUACACAUGCAAGUCGAACGGCAGCACGGGUGCUUGCACCUGGUGGCGAGUGGCGAACGGGUGAGUAAUGCGUCGGAACGUGCCGAGUAAUGGGGGAUAACGCAGCGAAAGUUGUGCUAAUACCGCAUACGCCCUCCGGGGGAAAGCAGGGGAUCGCAAGACCUUGCGUUAUUCGAGCGGCCGACGUCUGAUUAGCUUGUUGGUGAGGUAAUGGCUCACCAAGGCGACGAUCAGUAGCGGGUCUGAGAGGAUGAUCCGCCACACUGGGACUGAGACACGGCCCAGACUCCUACGGGAGGCAGCAGUGGGGAAUUUUGGACAAUGGGGGCAACCCUGAUCCAGCCAUUCCGCGUGAGUGAAGAAGGCCUUCGGGUUGUAAAGCUCUUUCAGCUGGAGUGAAACGGUACGCUCUAACAUAGCGUGCUAAUGACGGUACCAGCAGAAGAAGCACCGGCUAACUACGUGCCAGCAGCCGCGGUAAUACGUAGGGUGCGAGCGUUAAUCGGAAUUACUGGGCGUAAAGCGUGCGCAGGCGGAUUGUUAAGCAAGACGUGAAAUCCCCGGGCUUAACCUGGGAAUGGCGUUUUGAACUGGCAGUCUAGAGUGUGUCAGAGGGGGGUGGAAUUCCACGUGUAGCAGUGAAAUGCGUAGAGAUGUGGAGGAACACCAAUGGCGAAGGCAGCCCCCUGGGUCGACACUGACGCUCAUGCACGAAAGCGUGGGUAGCAAACAGGAUUAGAUACCCUGGUAGUCG